ensembl:lncRNA
UCACAGUCGAAGGGGAGCUUGGUAAAAUACUGGAGACACUGAAACGAAAAACAUAUAAAAGCAGUUCGGAGUAGAUAGAAAGAGUAAGGAGAAUCCUCGCUGGGGAAAAGCUUGGCCCUUUGAAUUGUAAUAUAUUCUGGGAAUUGUCUCAAUAGCGUUGGUGGUUCAGAGGUCAAGUUUUUGCCUACAACGCGGGAUACUCAGACCUCUGUCUCUUCAGGACCAUUCUAGCCCAAGGCCCCAGAGGCCAGUCUCAGGUGCCAGACUUCACAGGGCCAGCUCAGCCACCAGAGGGUCAGAGGAGACCCAGGGGGACAGAGGAGAAUGGGGGGCCCUGGUCAACAUGGAACUUCUUGGGUUGCCUAACAUUGGCAACACUUGCUUCCUAAACGCCACCCUGCAGUGCCUCCUGGUCCUGCCUUCCUUCUCAAAGGAAAUCCUAUGCCAGGAACAACUCUGGAACUCCUCCCCCUUCUCCAACCUGCUCAGGUGUCUGUCUGAUGUGCACCGUUCGGGUCUACCUGACAGUGGUGCAAACCAGGCCUCAAAAGCAGACCUCAUGUGGAAGGUCAAGUACUCCUUGUCGGGAUAUGAUUUGAAGUAUCUUGGGGACACGCAACAGGACGCAUACGAGUUACUUGUGAAUAUGCUGUGCCAGCUGAAGGAGAAGGGCAUGAUAGUGAAGAUGCUCGGAGUGAACUAUACCUGCCCUGUUUCCCAACUGGAGUUCCAGCUUGCGUCAGUGCGCACAUGUACCAGUGUGCUGAUUCUGCAUCUGAAGAGGUUUGGAGGACCUGGGGGGUUGGAGAAGCUGGAGACUCCUCUUUUGUUUCCUUCGGAGCUGAGGCUCUCCACCUUCUGUGGGGACACGGUGCCACCCCUGCACAGUGCCAGCCCAUAGGCCCUCACCAACCAGACCCUCGCCAGCAAAGUACCCAGCCCACCUGGAGAGGCCAAAGAUAGCGACCUCUGCUGUUCAGAUUCAAAUGACCAGGAACCAGGGAAAGUGCUGUGGACAGCCUCAGUGGUGAGGAGAGAUAGAGAGUGAAACCAGUGAAAAAUAAGUUACGACAGAACACUGAGAUUGUUAUGAGGAGUACACAAUAUAGUAGACCUCCCGCAGUAGACUAGUAGUGUAGUGGACUGUAAGACAGUGUGGUGGACUGUAGCGGAAAUGAGAAUCCAAUGAUCACAUGUGUUCUUACUGAAGAAGCAGCCAGUGAAGUCAGUGAAUGGCUACUACCAGCUGACGCGGGAGGCUCCGCAAACUCCGGGCACUACAUUAGUGACAUCUUGAAUGCAAGUGGAAACUGGUUCUACUGUAACCACAGCCAGGUCUCAAUGUACAAUGAAGCCACUGUGCUGAGGACCAGAGCCCAGAGUGCUUACCUGCUCUUCUAUUUGUUCAGAGCAGGAGAGGAGGCCCCAGCACACAGGGCCUAACAGGGCCACCAGUCCCAGCCUCAACAGGUGCAGCACUUGGACCAGCCUCAACAGGGGUAGUUCCAGGCCCAGACUCAACACCCUCAGACCUGCCUCGACAGGGGUAGAACCAGGCCCAGUCUCAAAACCCCCAGCCUCAACAGGGGCAGCACUGACCCAGCCUCACAUCCCCAGCCCAACCUCAACACCUCCAUGUUUGCCCCUCUUCAUGUUUUUCCCUGACAACAUUCCCACUGUUGUGUAAAAGGAAAAGAAAAAUAACUUAAGGAAUCGGACCUCCAACCCCCCCUACAAAAAAAUGAUGACUGGUCUGUCAAUCAUGCGGCUCAAGGGAGACUUGAUCUUCAACACAAGCAUGAGCAUCCUUUUCAGUAACAUAUGUCAUAAAUAUCUGCCCUUGUUUUGACUACUUCACCUAAUCUAUAAAGCGGAUGUAAAAAAUAAAGUAUACACACUAAAUGUAGAACACAUGUAAAUGUGGGGGAUAGAGUCUCUGAUUAUUUAGAGGGAAUAAAAUACCUUCUAUUUGAAAUCCUCCUGUUUGGAAAUACACUGUGGUGUAUAACCUUAUUCAGCAAGGUCACACCGGAUCCACUGCGAUAUUCUACAUUGAUCCAGAUCCCCAGGAUAUUGGGAGAUUACUUGUGCAUGUCAUGCAAUUUCAAUAAAGAAAAACAAACUGAAGAUAAUCCAAUUGAAGAUAAUUCUGUUAACCGUUCUAACUCUUUCAGCUCAGGAAGCUUUAUCGUCUGGGAUUCAGGCCGGUCCUAAUAGGGAGCUCAGAGAACAAGACUCUGCUAUGCACCAAUGGGGCCCGCUCUGGCUAGAGCAAGGCCCGCCUCCAACCCUUUGUGACCAGUCAGAAGACCAAAACGAC